CUCAGGGGAGUGGUUUGCUAGGUGGAGUUGAGAGUAUUUAGCUAGACAACAACAACAAAUCCCUCCAGCAAUUCUACUGGACAGGAAAAGGAGAACAAAAUGUAUUGAAUGAAAGCCUGUGUAGGAGUUCUAGGGAAGAGGCCAAAGGCUGAAACCAGGGGAGGGGCAGUAUCAGCUCAGCUCCUCCACCCAUUUUCAAAGAAGGGGACGAAAGAUCCAGACUAUCAUAUAAUGCAGUAUCUCCCUUGAACAGAGGAAUUAAUGUGGUUGUGCGUGUUCAGGAUAAAUUCUACUAUUCAGCUGUCAACUCUGCCGUAGCUGGCUUUGAAGUUCUGUGCACACCUGUGUGGAUGGAUCACAAAGAAAGUAAGGCUAGACCUCCCACACCCUUACUCAAAAUUCACAAUGCAACAUGUCAGAGUAAGCUUCAUAGUCAUUUGUAGACUGAAGAAUGACCCAGCAUCCCUUGAUGAAGAGCUAUAGACACUUGAAGCAUGUUGGAUGACUUGAAGAAGACGUUUUUAAAAAAUGCUUAUGGCACAUUUCUGAAGUUUUAUGUUACCAGUCCACACAUGAACCUGUCCCCUUGUCUCAUGAAAUCUAAGUUUUUCAAGAGUCUUUGAUGAGGAACUUUGUUGAAAGCAUUUUGGAAGUCCAAGUAUACGAUGUCAACUGGUUCACCUUUGUCUACCCACCUGCUGACACUCUCAAACAACUCCAGAAGUUCUCAGCAACACACAGAUACAGGAUGCGGAUGGGAAAACUGAAUGGAGAAACCUGUGGAGACGCUGCUUCUGCAUCCACUGCUUCUGAACAGUGUCGAGGUUCGCUUUGAAGUCCACAGCUACCUCGGAUACAGUGUGAUGGAGCUGU